GAUGAACGCUGGCGGCGUGCUUAACACAUGCCAGUCGAACGGAAAGGCCCAAGCUUGCUUGGGUACUCGAGUGGCGAACGGGUGAGUAACACGUGGGUGAUCUGCCCUGCACUUCGGGAUAAGCCUGGGAAACUGGGUCUAAUACCGGAUAGGACCACUUCUUGGAUGUUGUGGUGGAAAGUUUUUUCGGUGUGGGAUGAGCUCGCGGCCUAUCAGCUUGUUGGUGGGGUAAUGGCCUACCAAGGCGUCGACGGGUAGCCGGCCUGAGAGGGUGUACGGCCGCAUUGGGACUGAGGUACGGCCCAGACGCCUACGGGAGGCAGCAGUGGGGAAUAUUGCACAAUGGGCGCAGGCCUGAUGCAGCGACGCCGCGUGGGGGAUGACGGCCUUCGGGUUGUAAACUCCUUUCGCUAGGGACGAAGCGUUUUGUGACGGUACCUGGAGAAGAAGCACCGGCUAACUACGUG
rnacentral:rRNA from 1 species